GUCUACAGCCAUACCACCCUGAACGCGCCCGAUCUCGUCUGAUCUCGGAAGUUAAGCAGGGUCGGGCCUGGUUAGUACUUGGAUGGGAGAAGUGCCAAGGAACCGACA
rnacentral:rRNA from 1 species